UAUCCUUGCAGUGCAGGCUACCGUAGGCAUCCCAUUUCUCCUCUACGGUUUAAGGUUCAACUCAUGGUUAGAGGUGGUUUAGGAUUCUGAUUCUGGCUUUUGAAGUUUCCGGUGGAAUAGAGGAGGAUCCAACGGAGGAAUACGAACGCCGCCGCCGACCACGCCCAUCGGUAUGCAGUUUUCGUUGAAUCAAGGAUUUGAUUUGCGAAUGCUAUCGAGAGUUACCAAUCCACAGGUAGAGUAUAUUCGCUUGGGUUGACUCACUGCUUACUGAUUUUCAGUUUCACGGUGUAGAGUAUAUUCGUAUGCACAUGAAUUUGAUUUGGUGCUUCACUUUGAUUUUCUCCUUCGUUACAACGGGAAUGUUUCCAAGAAAUGUUAGGGUUUAUAAGAAUUUAGGAAUUUCGGUUUUCGGAGGAAGAAAAUUUUAUUGUCUCAAAAACCCUCUCUCACUCGUUUCUUUAAGCCAUUUUUGGUGUUCUGCUCCCUUCGAUUUUAGGUUCUUGAAAGAACAAUUUAUCUUUAAAUUCUUGAUGGUUUGGUUCGAUUUUGGCUGUGGCUAUUGCUCAGGUGAUUCUGGUUUUGGCUCCAGUCAAGCUCGGGUUUAAUUCAUGUUUUGUUUUCAAGGUCUAGCUCUUGUCCGGAUGGGGUUCUAGUUGGGGAUCGGCUAUGACUUUUACUCUGGCUCAGGGCUGAUGAUGCUCGCCAAUCUUUGAGCCAUGCUGGUGCCUAUCUAUUUUUUACAACUUACAGCGUAUUGUGCUACAAUCAUUCUUUCAUUAAUCCAUUUGGGACUAAUCUUCUUUUUUCCGCUUUACCGGUAUUAGUCUGUGAUGUUGACUUACUAAGAAUUGUGUGAGUGUGGAUGUAUUUAGAUGUCAUCAUAUAUUUGUUGUACUCUCUAAGAAUUGUGUGAGUGUGGAUGUAUUUAGAUGUCAUCAUAUAUUUGUUGUACUCUUUAUGUGGGACCCACAUGGGGUUUAUUGUGUUAAUAACUUAUUAACACUUCUCCUUUCUUUUUCUAUAUUUCCUGAGGUGAUGUAACAUCCUUUGAGGAGAUGCUGCCAACAAAAGAUCUAGAUGUCCUUCCUUAAGGAUUUGCUUUUCUUGAUGUGGGGAGGAAGCCAAGUGCCACUUAAUAAGAUGAUAAGAUGAGAAGAAAGGAAGAAAUAUUUACCUGACAUGGAGCUUCAGGGUGUUCAGGUAUUUAUUUUUCUCUGACAUUUUCUCAACUUUGUUUGCUUGAUUCUUUCUUGCCUGUUCAAGGUAGGAAGAGAUCUAGAUUUGGCUAUAGUGCUACAACUGACUCUCUUCGGUUUUGGGGAAGGAUCAGAACUAUCUUCUAUGAGUCUUACCAUCCACCACUGCCUUCUUCCUUCUCUUAUAAGGUAAUUUCCAGUUAAAUUUGUUCUUAUAUAUGUAUUUUUGUUGUAUUGUUCUGUGUAAUAUGAGCACCAUGUGGCUUGUUAUGCUGUUUUAUAUUUAUUUUAGGUUUGUGGUUUUUGUUUUGAAGAUGAUUUUCUUAUAACUGUUCGGUCCUACAAGCGUAGGUAAGUGUUUUUAGGUACAUGUCACUUUCUAGCGGUGAUAAAUGUAUGUCUAUUGUUGUUGUUGCUGCUGGCAUUCUUUUAGUGGGACUGUUUGUUAAUUUUUUGCUGACUAUACAGAUAGAUGUCUAGAAGCCCUGUUAUAUCUAUCCGGACUGUACGUUUAUUUUUGUAUGGGGUAGGUGUGCUGUGCCUAUUUUUGUUUGUUUUUGAUAUAUAGAUGAUAACCAUUUUUAUGUUCUUGUUCAGCAUAAUAAACAGAUUCAUCUAGAUGUUGUUCUUGUUGUAAAUGAAAAAUUACAUGAUACGGCAAAUGGUUUUACUAGGCUUGGGAUUCUUGGUUAUAAGAACUAGGGGUUCCUUAUCCCCCAAUAAUUCUUGUUCUGGAAGCAAUAUGACAGAAUUAUGUGAGGUUGAACUUUAGGAAUAUUAUAGGUUCUCUUAUUUAUUCCCAUGCAUGUUUGGUUGUCUUCUCAAAUUGUUUUCUUACGAUUAUUAAUGGCUGUGCAAUGAGGAAUUAAGGAGGAUGCAGUUGACUGCAUGAGACAGUUGGUUCUCAUGGAAAUUAUAGUGCACUUUUCAUGGUAAUGAGCAUGGAUUGGGUCGAGAAUCUUGGCAUUCUUUUAUGAAAUUGCUUUAUUUCCUUGAUUAUUUAUUUAUUUGGUUUAUGAUCAUGAACUUUUGUUAUGUGAUUUUCUUUUUUAGUUUUGUGAAUGUUAUACAUACCAUAGAUUAAUAUAUAUGUUCUAUAAUUGUCAGUGAAAACUUCAACUAUGACUUGAUUUUCAUUGUAGGCGAUAUGUGUAUGUAUAUCUAUUCAUAUUUCUGUAUGAUUAGUUAUUUUUAUUAUGUGAUUCCUUGUUAUUUAUUGAUUUAUUGUGUGUAUAUGUGCAUGUGGUAGGUUUGCGUGCGUACAAAAUAAAAUUGAUAAAGUGUGUUCAUUCAGUAGGUUUAUUAUGUAUGCUUGCACAAUAGAAUUGAUUUUAUUGUACAUAUGUUUGUAUUGAUUUUGUGUUGUUUUGUGUGUUGUGUUUAACUUUAUUAUUAAUGUGCUUGUAUAUUUUUGUAUGUGGGUGGUUUGUGUUUGUAUGUUUGUAUUAUUUGUGUAUUAUUUAUUUAGUAUGUUUGUAUUAUUUGUGUAUUAUUUUGUGAUGUUUGACUUUUUAUUAUUAAUAUGCAUGUAGACAUGCAUUUGGUAGGUUUGUGUGUGUAUAUUUGUAUACAUACAAGACAUACACAAUUUUAAAAUUGUGUAUAUUUGCACAAGAGAAUUGAUUUUAUUGUGUGCAUGUUUCUAAUGAUUUUGUAUUAUUUUGUGUAUAUGUUUAGCUAACUCUAUUAUUAAUGUCUAUAUGUGCAUAAGGUAGACAUAUAACACAUUGAUUAUAUUGUGUGCAUAUUUGUAAUGUUUUUAU